rnacentral:rRNA from 1 species
GACGAACGCUGGCGGCGUGCCUAACACAUGCAAGUCGAGCGGGGUUGAAGCGAGGGGUAACUCGAGUUUCUACCUAGCGGCGGACGGGUGAGUAACGCGUGGGCAACCUGCCUCAAGGACUGGGAUAACAGCUCGAAAGGGCUGCUAAUACCGGAUAAGCCUAUGGCCUCGCAUGGGGCCAUGAGCAAAGGGGAAACCUGCCUUGAGAUGGGCCCGCGUCCCAUCAGCUAGUUGGUGAGGUGAAGGCUCACCCAAGGCGACGACGGGUAGCCGGCCUGAGAGGGUGACCGGCCACACUGGGACUGAGACACGGCCCAGACUCCUACGGGGGGCAGCAGUGGGGAAUCUUGCACAAUGGGCGAAAGCCUGAUGCAGCGACGCCGCGUGAGCGAAGAAGGCCUUCGGUUGUAAAGCUCUGUCUGGAGGACGAAGGAAGUGACGGUACGUCCGGAGAAGGCCACGGCGUAACUACGUGCCAGCAGCCGCGGUAAACGUAGCGUG